rnacentral:misc_RNA from 1 species
GAGAAGGUUGUUUUGCUCCAUACGAAAAACGAUUUUGUUAUCACCAAAAGGCGGUGUAUAAGCAGUCACUUGUGAAUAGACCAAUACUGGUUAAUAGUCGUUAUUUGGUAUCACAAAGAAACUAUUAAGAAAAUACAUGAAUUCAUUUUUGGAUUGCUUAUUAGUGAUUUUCAUGAUCACCUAAACAGUACAGAUUAUUAACAUUAUUACUAUAAAAAUGCACAUGGAAACAUUUUGGUAAAAAGACGAAGAAAUGCCUGCACCAGAGUUACAGCUUACAUUUUUGGUUUUUCAACACGUGUGAGAUGGUGUUUGUAAAUUAUAAUAUUAAAGGAAUUUUAGUAAUGUGAUAAUUGUGAGAUUUCGUAAAAAAACCAUUCUUUUAUUUUUAAUACAUCAGUCCAAAUAGCAAAAUUGAGGUAAGGUUGUGAACACGCUUUUGAGGAUGAAAGUAAGGUUGUAUUAUAUUAUUGAAUAAUUAUGUAAUGAGUGAAUAUAUAAUUACCUGGAAUGGUUUAAGCAUAUGCAUAGAAAUUAAGAUUUGAUACAAUUUU